rnacentral:rRNA from 1 species
UUGAACGCUGGCGGCAGGCCUCACACAUGCAAGUCGAGCGGAUGAAGGGAGCUUGCUCCUGGAUUCAGCGGCGGACGGGUGAGUAAUGCCUAGGAAUCUGCCUGGUAGUGGGGGAUAACGUCCGGAAACGGGCGCUAAUACCGCAUACGUCCUGAGGGAGAAAGUGGGGGAUCUUCGGACCUCACGCUAUCAGAUGAGCCUAGGUCAGAUUAGCUAGUUGGUGGGGUAAAGGCCUACCAAGGCGACGAUCCGUAACUGGUCUGAGAGGAUGAUCAGUCACACUGGAACUGAGACACGGUCCAGACUCCUACGGGAGGCAGCAGUGGGGAAUAUUGGACAAUGGGCGAAAGCCUGAUCCAGCCAUGCCGCGUGUGUGAAGAAGGUCUUCGGAUUGUAAAGCACUUUAAGUUGGGAGGAAGGGCAGUAAGUUAAUACCUUGCUGUUUUGACGUUACCAACAGAAUAAGCACCGGCUAACUUCGUG